CCAAAGGUUGCUUUUGAUCAUUUCGUACUGAUUGUCUCGUUGAUUCGCCAUUCAAUUGUUGCAUUCCUCGUUGCUGCCAUGCUGUGAGACAAUUUAGUGCUAGCCCAUCCCUGGCUGGUGUUUAGAAUAUAUAAAUCUUUGUUAAAAAUAGAUCAUUGAACUAGACUAGCCUGUAUUCUAAAAGCUCACACUCAAUGAGUGGAGAUUCAAUCUGAGCUUCUGUUGAGUGUCAAUGCUGUUUUUGAAUAGCUGGAGGGUGAGUAGUCACAUAGUAAGGUACGACACUAACCCUCCAGCUGUUCAAAAACAGCAUUGAUACUGGCCGGAGAGAAUCUCAGAUUGAACUUCCACUCAUUGAGUGUGUGUGAGCUUUUGUGAGAGUUGCCAGUCAUGCAUUGUUACAGGGAACAUUUGAAGCUCUAGAUUAACAAAAUAAAGGUUUGUUGAGUGUUCCAACUAUGUUUUAACAUAAAUGAUUUAAAUACAUGAUAGUGUUAGGGAAGCAUUAAGAUUUAAGAACAGCUAACCAAGGUCGUAUGACAUCCUCCUUUGAUCCGGGAUAGUUAUUUUGUUUCUAAUGGAUAGUUGUAUCAGCUCUAAACUGUGCAGUAAGAUCAUUCCUUAUUGAUGCAGUCAGUCAACAACAUGAGGAGAAAAUCUGCAGUGUUUGGUAAGUCCAACAGGAAACACGGUAUAUUCCAGGAAUCAAACCCAAACAUUCUAAUUGUCCCCAUGAUCAUCAUGGCUAUGGAAUUCUGUAUUCCUAUAUAGACUAUUUUGUAUACGUCUCUUAGGUUGACCAUCGGUGUCGCUGGAUUUCGUCUGUGAUUUAAUCUUGAACUGCGUGUGCCAGUGUAGGUAGUGCCAAUAUUAAAUAACAAUCUUUCGUUGCUAGGGAUGCAGUUACCUGAAACUAUCCCCUAUCAUCCCUCCCAACAAAAGCUUGUUAUUUUAUGUAAGCCCACCAUAACAAUCAUUUCACCUUUCAGAUUUGACUUCCACUACCUAGAUGUGCGAUAAGGGACCAUUAACCAAUCAGAUACGUUUGAUAUAUCCGAUUAACCAAUCAGAUGCGUGCUGGAAGCCAGUGGGAGGUAGUGGUAGUGGAAGUCAAAUAGUGAACCUCCCUAAUCUUUCCGGUUCAGCACUUCCUACUAGUUAGGACUCAUUUUCCUUGAUGUCCCCACCACCAAGGCCCUUGGCUACCUAGCGCCUACUGUGGUGACACUGGAUCAAUAAGAGGUGAUCCUUACUGGACCUUUAGGAAGAACAGUUCAGAACUGAUGGAGCUAUCCAGUAUAAAUAAAGUUAGUUUAGUUUAGGUUUCCUCCUGUAGUAACACUGGAUCAAUAAGAGGUGGUCCUUACUGGACUUCUAGGAAGAACAGUUCAGAACUGAUAGAGCUAUCCAGUAUAAAUAAAGUUAGUUUAGUUUAGGUUUCCUCCUGUAGUAACACUGGAUCAAUAAGGGACGACCCUUACUGGACCUCUAGGAAGAACAGUUUAAACUGAUAGAGCUAUCCAGUAUAAAUAAAUAAAGUUAGUUUAUCUAGUUAUCCUAUGCAUAUUAAUCGCUGAACAUUUCAUCACUGUAUG
rnacentral:lncRNA from 1 species